rnacentral:tRNA from 2 species
GUACCCAUAGCUCAAUUGGAUAGAGUACUUGGCUACGAACCAAGCGGUUGGGGGUUCGACUCCCUCUGGGUAUA